GCACUUGUCUCUCGGUGUCGACGCGAUUCAGUGUUGAACGAACUUUUGCUGCGUCCAGUCAAUGUGAAUCGCGAGUGUUACCUUUCGUCCAUCCGCCGUGUAUUAAACUAAAAACAAAUACAAACACACAAAGUAAAGUCAACAUUUGUAGCGGUUGUCGUGUUUAUCCGGAGCCUACGUUACUCGCUUGGGCUUAGUGUUGUUUGUGUGUUGGCUUGCCUGCCUGUUCGCUUGGGACAGGUCUACAGCAGUGAAGUGGAAACAAGUUUUACGUCCCAACUUCAACGCGUCCGCCUAGUUGGUAGGCGUUUGUGCGCCAUCGCUCCCCUCUUUCCGAGCCCAGCAUCGGUCCACACGGCACGUCACCCCAACUAAAGACGUUUUUGUCGUUUUUGUGUUUGUUGUUCGUGCUCUGCGCUCGGUGUGUGUAAUUCACUCGUUCAUAGUUCUCUCCCUCGCUGCUCCAAAUUCGCCUGUGCAUUCGCGUUCGUACAGUUAAUUUGCAUCGUUUGUGUUGUGGCAUUUGUUGUUGCCGUUACUGCUGCUGCUAACUUGCAGUCUUAGCCUUUGCGGUAGAGCUACUGUUGCUGUUGUUGUUGCUGCUGUUACUGCUGAGUAUUGUAUUUUGUGCAACAGUGCAGCUGCUUGUCUUCUACAAAAAUUGCAAUAAAAUACAUGUUCAUGUAUGCGUUAAAAUACAUAAAUAUAUGAAGUGUUCGUUUGUGAAGCUUAAUCAAAAUAAAUAUUCAAAUCUCGUUAUAUAAUUAACAACUGUCGCGAAUGUCUCUUUUAUAAAUAUACCUAUAUACAAAUGUGGAUGCAAUAAAGUAAAUAAUUAUAAAUAAUGAAGUGUGCUUAAAACUACAAUCAAACUCACUACAACAACACAUGCAUCUUGAAUUAAAUGGAAUAAGUCUGCUACAACUGCAAUUAUAUAUUUCUUGACUGAUGAAAAACAACAAUAUAUUGGAAGAUGUAAAUUCCAAAACAAAAUAGGUAAUACUCAACAUCAUAUCCGCUAAAACAAGCACACGUCUGCUAAUAAAAAAUAACAACAAAUUACAAAGGCACCGGAGAAGGCAAGUUAAACGCAAGCGCAUAAUCUAAAAAUGAAAUCUACUAUUGCACAUCGAAGUUGUGUGUAAUUUUUCAAUUAUCACUUUUCAUUUCCACCUACUGCGCGCAGCAAGCGCCGAGCACAACGCGUUGCCAUAUCAGAAGUAAAUUACCGACAAACAUACAAAAUGACAACACGUUUGCACACAUAUUAGGAGUGAUUGCGUAUAUAAAAAUGUUAUAUGUAUGUGUGUAAGCGCGAUUACUUGGCCUUUUCCGCUGAUUGCAGCGCCAAAAAAAUAAAAUUGCACGAAGAAAUAGCCAAUAAUUCGUUCUUGAGGCAUUUCAGCGUCAUCAGCAGUGCAUCAGUAGACCACAGUGCAACAAAAACAACAGCAAUAAAAACUAGAAAUAAAUAUACUAUUCGGUAUAGUGGUUGUUGUGUUGUUCUUGUUGCUGUCGCUGUCAGCGUACACGCAUUUCGCACCAUAUUUGGCCGCUCGCACAAGAUUAUCUCGCACACAUCCUGUUGCAUCGCAUCGCCGCAGUUUUGCUGAUUGUAUGGCAUUACAAUUUUAAAUCAACUACACGGAUUUCCUUCGCUCAAAAGGUGAGUAACAGCAAUUGGGUCGCAUUGCAUUGUUAUUGUGCUUUUAUGUUAACUACAGUCUGUAUAUAUACCUAGAUAUAUGCUAAGUUUUAUAUAAGUGCUGUAAACUGGCAAAAUUAUAGUGAUUUUCGUAAAAGAAUUUCC